rnacentral:rRNA from 1 species
GACGAACGCUGGCGGCGUGCCUAAUACAUGCAAGUCGAGCGAACAGACGAGGAGCUUGCUCCUCUGACGUUAGCGGCGGACGGGUGAGUAACACGUGGAUAACCUACUUAUAAGACUGGGAUAAUUUCGGGAAACCGGAGCUAAUACUGGAUAAUAUAUUGAACCGCAUGGUUCAUUAGUGAAAGACGGUUUUGCUGUCACUUAUAGAUGGAUCCGCGCCGGAUUAGCUAGUUGGUAAGGUAAAGGCUUACCAAGGCGACGAUGCGUAGCCGACCUGAGAGGGUGGUCGGCCGCACUGGAACGGAGACGCCGUCCAUACUCCUGCGAGAGGCAGCAGUAGGGAAUCUUACGCAAUAGUCGGAAUCCUGACGGAGCAACGCCGCGUGAGUGGUGAAGGUCUUCGGAUCGUAAUGCUCUGUUAUUGGGUAAGAACAAAUUUGUAAGUAACUGUGCACGUCUUGACGGUACCUAGUCAAAAAGCCACGGCUAACUACGUG